rnacentral:rRNA from 1 species
CGCCUUCAGAUUCAAUAUUGGAGGUCUGGUCUGCCCAGUGUAAUUAAUUAACGGCCGCGGUAUUCUGACUGUGCAAAGGUAGCAUAAUCACUUGCCCUUUAAAUGGGGGAAUGUAUGAAUGAUUAGACGAGGUUUUUACUGUCUCUUCCUUAUAAAUUGAGAUUACAAUACUUGUGAAAAUGCGGGUAAGGUAAUAAAGGACGAGAAGACCCUGUUGAGCUUUUAAGCUAAACUAUAGUACAGGUUAAAGUUAAGUAAUAAUUUACAAUUAAAACGAGUAAUUUUUUGUAGGCUUUUUGGCUGGGGUGGCAAGCAAAGAUAUUAAGCUUUGUUGUAGUAUACAUUUUGUAUUUCUAGAUAAUAUGUAUCUAUAAAUAAUUAAAUUGAUCCGUUAAAAAUAGAACGAUUAAAAGAAUAAGUUACCACAGGGAUAACAGCGUAAUUCUUUUUGAGAGCUCGAAUUGACAAAGGAGUUUGCGACCUCGAUGUUGGAUCAAGAUUCCUAGCGGUGUAGCAGCUGUUACGGGUUUGCCUGUUCGGCGAUUAAUAUCU